CAAUUGAAGGGUUUGAUUCUGGCUCAGAAUGAACGUUGGCGGCAUGGAUUAGGCAUGCAAGUCGCGCGAUAACUGAGAGAGCUUGCUCUCGAGGGGACAGCGGCGAAAGGGAGAGUAACAGGUGGUUUAUCUACCCUCGGGUUUGGGAUAGCGUCGGGAAACUGGCGGUAAUACCAAAUAACAUCUACGGAUCAAAGUUCCGGCGCCCGGGGAUGAGACUGCUCACUAUUAGCUUGUUGGUGGGGUAAUGGCCUACCAAGGCGACGAUGGUUAGCGGGCGUGAGAGCGUGGCCCGUCUCACUGGGACUGAGAUACUGCCCAGACACCUACGGGUGGCUGCAGUCGAGAAUCUUUGGCAAUGGGCGCAAGCCUGACCAAGCGAUGCCGCGUGCGGGAUUAAGGCCUUCGGGUUGUAAACCGCUGUCAGAGGGGAAGAAAUUUUGACUGAUCCUCAGAGGAAGGACGGGCUAAGUUCGUGCCAGCAGCCGCGGUAAGACGAACCGUCCGAACGUUAUUCGGAAUUACUGGGCUUAAAGGGUGCGUAGGCGGCCCUACAAGUCAGGUGUGAAAUCCCACGGCUCAACCGUGGAACUGCGCUUGAAACUGUAGGGCUUGAGGGAGAUAGGGGUGAGCGGAACUGAUGGUGGAGCGGUGAAAUGCGUUGAUAUCAUCAGGAACACCGGCGGCGAAGGCGGCUCACUGGGUCUCUACUGACGCUGAGGCACGAAAGCUAGGGGAGCGAACGGGAUUAGAUACCCCGGUAGUCCUAGCUGUAAACGAUGAGCACUGGAUCGAGGGGACUCCCACAUCUUCUCGGUCGUAGCGAAAGUGUUAAGUGCUCCGCCUGGGGAGUAUGGUCGCAAGGCUGAAACUCAAAGAAAUUGACGGGGGCUCACACAAGCGGUGGAGGAUGUGGCUUAAUUCGAGGCUACGCGAAGAACCUUAUCCUAGUCUUGACAUGUUUAAGAAUCUCCCUGAAAGGGGAGAGUGCUCUUCGGAGAGCUUUUGCACAGGUGCUGCAUGGCUGUCGUCAGCUCGUGUCGUGAGAUGUCGGGUUAAGUCCCUUAACGAGCGAAACCCCUAUCUCUAGUUGCCAGCGAGUAAUGUCGGGGACUCUAGAGAGACUGCCGGUGUGAAACCGGAGGAAGGCGGGGAUGACGUCAAGUCCUCAUGGCCUUUAUGACUAGGGCUGCACACGUCCUACAAUGGUGCGAACAAAGGGACGCAAACUCGCGAGAGUAAGCAAAUCCCAGAAAACGCGCCUCAGUUCGGAUUGCAGGCUGCAACUCGCCUGCAUGAAGCCGGAAUCGCUAGUAAUCGCGGGUCAGCAUACCGCGGUGAAUAUGUUCCUGAGCCUUGUACACACCGCCCGUCAAGCCACGAAAGUGGGGUGCACGCGAAGUCGCUAAGCUAACUCGCAAGAGAGGCAGGCGCCGAACGUGAACUCCGCGAUUGGGACUAAGUCGUAACAAGGUAGCCGUAGGGGAACCUGCGGCUGGAUCACCUCCUUU
rfam:Blastopirellula marina DSM 3645 scf_1099463000750 genomic scaffold, whole genome shotgun sequence.